CAAAGCACCACAAACUGGGUGGGUUAAAACAACAGGAAUUUCUUCUUUCACGGUUCUGGAGGCGACAAGUCUGAAAUCAAGGUGUCAGCAGGGCCGUGCUCCUGCAGAAGGCUCUGGAGGAGGAGUCUCCCUUGCCUCUUUCGAGUCCUGGGGGUUGACAACUCUCCUGGCAUUCCUUGACUCGUAGAUUCAUCACUCCCAUCUCUGCCUCCAUCUUCUCACGGCCUCCCCUCUGUGUGUCUGAGUCCAAAUUUCCCUCCUCUUCUAAGGACUCCAGUCACCGGAUUAGGGCGCACCCAAUGCAGUAUGACCUCAGUUUAACUUGAGUACAUCUGCAAAGACCCUAUUUCCAAAUGAGGUCACAUUCACAGGAGACACAGGUUAGGACCUCAACAAGUCUUUUGGGGGGACACGGUUUAACCUAUAACAGAGCCCUCCACAUAUUGAAAGGAUCCUUUAAAAUUUGCAAUGGGUUACUACCGCGUGGGGUCUUUAGUAACUUAACAGGGUAUUUGUUUAAAUGCAGACCCCUGGUCCUUCUUCAGUUCUCUUGAUUUAAGUUACUAACAGGGAGUUCACAGACAUAUCCCCUUUGCAGGAUCAAUAGACAUCAUUUUCAGGCGUCAACAAUCCCUAAACCAGUCACCUGUUGGAUACACAGAUUCUUAGACUGAGGACUGGAGGCUGAGCACAGACACACUCUCUGAAUCUGCCAGUUGCUGGUGGAUUUCCUCCACUCCUCUCCAUUACAGAAAAUCAGAUCAAGUCAUCGAAAUCUUCCCCUCCUUAGGGCCUUCCACUCUGUGAGGUCCUCCAACAGCUCCUCGCCCCUCGAGUGUGGCCAAGCCUCCCCUACUUCACGAGGCAGUCAGGGAAGUCCAACAGACGUCCUGCUGGCCAGUCUCCUCUCGACCCGCGAUUCCUCUGCACUGUUCCACAUCUGCGCCUUGCUUGUGCUGCUCUGUGAACCCCGAACGCUCUCCCCUGCUUUCCACCCACCCAGUGCUUGCUCAUCCUUCAAGCCCAGGCUCACCCAUUGCUUGCUCAUCCUUCAAGCCCUGGCUUCCUUGUGAGGCCUCCUUGGACGAACUCUACUCCACACAGAGCCUGCUCCACCCCACCCCCACACCUUCGUCCUUGGAAACCUGAGCUUCUCAAACUGCCCUGCAGUGGGAUUACCUGCACACUUCUUAAACAAAGAUUCCUGGGCCCACCCCUGGAGGUUUUGAUGCAGGAGAAUUGGAGAAGGGCCAGCGAUCUGCAUUUUAAACAAAUACCCCCAGGAAAUUCUGACGCAGUGACCCAAAAGCCACUGAGGAGCACUUCUAACAAGUAGUCCAAGGCAGAUCCUUCGCUCCUCUGGUGUCUGAGAAAUGGCCUAGAGUUUCCUGUCUUAGGAUCCCUGUAUCUUACACGCUGUCUGAAAUAUAGGUGCCGUCAAUAGACAUGUGUUGAAUGAAUGAACAAAUUAAUCGAUGGAUGCAAGUGGGUUCACCAGAUGGACCGUCAUCUUCUUUAGGACAGAAUAAAACUGGAGUUGAGGUGGUAGGAAGGAUAAUAGUCUAAGAAGAGGAAAAAAGCACUGAACGGUCUGGCAGGUAUUUAAAUACUCUCAAAAAAAAGACAAAACCACCUGCGUCUGUUUUAACUUCCCAAAGAAACCAGUAGAAAUACAGCCCACUGAUACCCAUCCUUCUUCUCCGGUUAGGCAACCUUUGCCGCUGCACUGGGUAUCGGCCAAUUCUCGAGAGUGGAAGGACCUUCUGUGCGGAGUCAAGUGGCUGUCAGCAGAAAGGAAGAGGAAAAUGCUGCUUGGACCAGGGAGAAAAUGCCGCUUCCUCGCUUGGCGGGGAAAGUGACAUUUGCACAGAGUUGUUUGCGAAAGACGAGUUCCAGCCCUUGGAGCCUACCCAGGAGCUCAUAUUUCCCCCAGAACUCUUGAGAAUGGCGGAGAACCCAGAAAAGCGAACGCUGACCUUUCAUGGAGAGAGGGUUACCUGGAUCUCCCCCGGGACCCUCAAGGAUCUCCUGGAGCUGAAAGUGAAACACCCCGACGCCCCUCUCAUCCUGGGCAACACCUCACUGGGACCUGCAAAGAAAUCUCAAGGACAUUUUCACCCAGUUCUCCUCUCUCCUGCUAGGAUUUCUGAGCUGAGUAUGGUGUCCACAACAAGCAAGGGUGAGUUCCUGGUGUUCUCAGUAAGAUAUCAGUGAACCGGUCCCUGCACUGAACUUACACUUGCCAAAUAGCGCGGACCUCUGUCCAUCUCGUACCUUUGUCUUGUCUGGCCUGUUUCCCCUCUUCAUCGUUUUUCCGAUGUGAUGCUGCAUCCCCACCAUGAACCUUUACUAUCGAAAACUUUGCCCAGAAGAUGAGGUAUUCAGAUGAUAUCACUCAAGACCUUGCAGUCACCUGCAGGAUUCUUGCCUAUAAAAUGCCAUGGUGACCUAGAGACAACGAAUUUGCAGUGUCACUUUGACGGGAAGACAGCGCCAGAGAACUGGUGCUAGCCAUUGGUUGAGCGGUCAAUUCCAGGGAGGGAGGAUGUCUCCAGGGGGACAGUAGAAGUAUUAUCUGGCACUUGAAUGCUACUUGUCUCUUAGGGACAGUGACAAGGGGCAAAAUGGGACAAAGACCUACCCGGGCAAGCACCCCCCAGUCAUUUACAACAUCCGUAAGGGCCCACUCUGUGCAGAUACCACAUAGGCAAGGCAGCACUCAUGAAGUAGGAAGGAAACGUGCAAGACUCUUUCUUCGAGAAGCACAGCAAAGUCUUUGACAAAAAGAACCACAUUAUGGCGCUUUCCUCAUCCCAAGAGCUCCCAGCACGUAAGGACUGUCUGUGCGCGUGAUGCUCAGUCAACGACCGACAAAUGACGUGACAGGAAACCCGAGUGAACACCUGGGUGAGGAACGCGAAUUUGGGGCGCAGUGGAAACAAUGACUUCCUCAACUUAACCAACACGGAGGUUGACCGAACUGAAGGCUUUAGUCCAGACUGAACGGGAGGCUACCAAGCGUUUGUGGGGGUCAGUGGGGGACAGGACAGCAGACCUGCCUGGGCCAUAUCACUGCCAUCCAGGAGUCCGACCUUCCUGGCCGCUGACCACCAUCAGCCAAACUCAGUGCUGCAGACAGCAAGCCAGCCCCUCCCUGCUCCCGGCUCCUAUCUGGAGGGCAGGGGCCCUCCUGGUUUUGCCCAGCACCCGGCCUCGCAGCAUCAGCCUCGGGACGAUUCAGGUAGCACUUCUGAAUGCCGCUCCGACAGUGAGGGAAUGUGCUCAGAUUGACUGAAAUCUUAGCGAUGGCAGAGGGAGAGGGGACAGCGAUCGGGUGACUGGGGGCGGGGACAAGCAGUUCAAGCAGCAGGUUAGGACAGGAAGCCCUUUCCUCUUCUCCAGCCCAGGCACGGUCUCGCCCGUGGUCUCCAGACGUCUCUUUGGCACCACAAGCCUGUCCUCAAGCAAAUCUCAAAUAAAAGAAGUCAGUGAAAAAAGCUGCUCUGUUGGAAGGAGAGGAGAGACUUUCCUCCAUCCCCCCGUCACUGAGCCCCCACAUCUGCCCCUGAGAGGGCCCUUCAGGGCACAAUUCAAAACCCUCAGCAUGGCCCCAAUCCUUCCUUUUUACAAACCAGGAAGCUGAGACGCUAAAGGAAAGUGGACUUGCCCAAGGUCCCCAAACAGCUGGCGCUCAGGUCGGCAAACCCCACAUCUCCCACUUCCGUUCAGAACUCUUUCCGUUACUGCCAUGCUCUGAGCCCCGGCCUGCCCCAUACCUGUCCAACUGGCUGUUUGAAUGGACUGUUUGGACUCUGGAGGCAAAGUAGAGACAACUUCUGAAAUCUGAGGAAACAAUGCACCUUCCUGGGACCUCUUAAAAUUACAGUGUGAGGGGCCGACCCUGUGGCAUAGUGGUUAAAUUCUGUGCACUCCACUUCAGCAGCCCAGGUUCGUGGGUUCGGAUCCCGAGUAUAGACCUACACCACUCAUCAGCCAU